UACGUAGGGUGCAAGCGUUGUCCGGAAUUAUUGGGCGUAAAGAGCUCGUAGGCGGUUUGUCGCGUCUGCUGUGAAAACCCGAGGCUCCACCUCGGGCCUGCAGUGGGUACGGGCAGACUAGAGUGCGGUAGGGGAGAUUGGAAUUCCUGGUGUAGCGGUGGAAUGCGCAGAUAUCAGGAGGAACACCAAUGGCGAAGGCAGAUCUCUGGGCCGUAACUGACGCUGAGGAGCGAAAGCAUGGGGAGCGAACAGG
rnacentral:rRNA from 1 species